AUCAUAUUUUCUCGAUUUAAUAUCGAGCCCCUUUUUCACACCCUUGUAAGUCGAUUGCUUUUUUAAGUAUCGCCGUCAACCUCACAUGGCUUACUCUUGGGCCUUCUUACAAUGAGACAGUCUGCUUGCACUUACACUCAUAAAUUGCAUUAUUUGUUGUUUGGGCUCGAUUUAAUUAUUCCAGUAUUUUGAAUCCCUAUUUGACAAAAUGUACCCCACUCCCCGAUGUGUAAUAAUU
rnacentral:lncRNA from 1 species